UGUCUCGACACCACAGCACCCGUCGAACAUAGUUUCACUUUCGCCGUGUCGGAAACUCACCGGAGUUACGUGAGGUGGGCACGACAGGAAAUCUUGCAUCAUCGAGCACCGGAGAAACCGGAAGUCACCGGAGUUCGAGGAACUCGCGGAUAUCCCGACUCGUUUCCUUCAUCAAAUCCAAGCAUUUCGCCGGAGAUCGGAGUUCACGUACAGUUCGAACCGGAGUAACAUACGUCGCCGGGACAACAAACUCGUUGCCGGAUGAUCGGAUCUUUGCGGCCUCCUCCUCUCGUUCGGAUAAUCGCUUACGUUCGUUCUCUUGCAAUCUCUUGGAUAAUCUCAAACCUUUCUACUCUUCCUCAUUUACCAAGAAAACGCAACGCAAGCAAAGGUGAGUAUACUCGAUCCCAUUUUCGUUUUAAACACAUUUGGGUGCCACAUGUAUUCCGUAUUCAAAUUACACAACACUUGAGUCUUGUUUUUAAGCACACUCUAUCCGCAUUUAAACAUGAAACAAUUUGAUGCUUGUUAAUCUCUUAUGCUAUGUAUGUUGAACGUGUUAAUCUCAA